GAUGAACACUAGCGACAGGCUUAACACAUGCAAGUCGAGGGGCAUCACGGGAGUAGCAAUACAACUGGUGGCGACCGGCGCACGGGUGAGUAACGCGUAUGCAACCUACCUAUCAGAGGGGAAUAACCCGGCGAAAGUCGGACUAAUACCGCAUAAAACAGGGGCACCGCAUGGUGAUAUUUGUUAAAGAAAUUCGCUGAUAGAUGGGCAUGCGUUCCAUCAGGUAGUUGGUGAGGUAACGGCUCACCAAGCCGACGAUGGAUAGGGGAACUGAGAGGUUGGUCCCCCACACUGGUACUGAGACACGGACCAGACUCCUACGGGAGGCAGCAGUGAGGAAUAUUGGUCAAUGGGCGGGAGCCUGAACCAGCCAAGUCGCGUGAAGGAAGAAGGAUCUAUGGUUCGUAAACUUCUUUUGCAGGGGAAUAAAGUGCAGGACGUGUCCUGUUUUGUAUGUACCCUGAGAAUAAGGAUCGGCUAACUCCGUGCCAGCAGCCGCAGUAACAC
rnacentral:rRNA from 1 species